rnacentral:tRNA from 1 species
GAAAGUCUGUUAAAACUAUCAACAUCUCCUGAAUGCAACUCAGACACUUUAAUUAAGCUAAGACUUC